rnacentral:rRNA from 1 species
UGGUUGAUCCUGCCGGACCUGACUGCUAUCGGAUUGGUACUAAGCCAUGCGAGUCGUUGUAGCAAUACAAGGCGAACUGCUCAGUAACACGUAGUUAACCUAACCUAUGGAUGGGGAUAACCUCGGGAAACUGAGAAUAAUACCCAAUAGAUCACAGUGCCUGGAAUGGCCUGUGAUUGAAAUGAUUUAUCGCUGUAGGAUGGGACUGCGGCCUAUCAGCUUGUUGGUGAGGUAAUGGCCCACCAAGGCUGUAACAGGUACGGGCUCUGAGAGGAGGGGCCCGGAGAUGGGUACUGAGACACGGACCCAGGCCCUAUGGGGCGCAGCAGGCGAGAAACCUUUGCAAUGUGCGAAAGCACGACAGGGUUAAUCCGAGUGUCUCCUGCUAAAGGAGUCUUUUGCCAGUUGUAGAAUCACUGGCGAAUAAGGGGUGGGCAAGUUCUGGUGUCAGCCGCCGCGGUAAAACCAGCACCUCGAGUGGUCAGGAGGUUUAUUGGGCCUAAAGCAUCCGUAGCCGGUUGCAUAAGUUUUCGGUUAAAUCUAUGCGCUCAACGUA